GAGCAUCCAGAAGUUUUAUGUGACGACAGCGCGACAGAAAAGCUGACUCGUUAUGCCGAGGAGGUUAGGAGGAAAGCAGGAGACGAUGAUCUAGAUUGGAGGGAGGCACCUUUCGAUCCGGAUGCAGCAUAUGUUGCUGGUGGUGGGCUACCACAUGGGAGGUUGGGGAUCGGUGAUGGGGUUGUGAGUCGCGAUAGCUUUGGUCGUCGGUCUGUUUCCUCGGUGGGGAGUAGAUCUCGAACUUCAACUUCG